rnacentral:rRNA from 1 species
AUUGAACGCUGGCGGCAGGCUUAACACAUGCAAGUCGAGCGGGGUGAUGGUGCUUGCACUAUCACUUAGCGGCGGACGGGUGAGUAAUGCUUAGGAAUCUGCCUAUUAGUGGGGGACAACAUCUCGAAAGGGAUGCUAAUACCGCAUACGUCCUACGGGAGAAAGCAGGGGAUCACUUGUGACCUUGCGCUAAUAGAUGAGCCUAAGUCGGAUUAGCUAGUUGGUGGGGUAAAGGCCUACCAAGGCGACGAUCGGUCGCGGGCCUGAGAGGAUGGUCCGCCACACUGGGACGGGAACACGGCCCAGACUCCUAGCGGUGGCAGCAGUGGGGAAUAUUGGACAAUGGGGGGAACCCUGAACCAGGCAUGCCGGGUGUGUGAAGAAGGCAUUAUGGUUGUAAAGCACUUUAAGCGAGGAGGAGGCUCUUUUGGUUAAAACCCAAGAUGAGUGGACGUUACACGCAGAAUAAGCACCGGCUAACUCUGUGCCAGCCGCCGCCGUAA